rnacentral:rRNA from 1 species
UACGAAGGGGGCUAGCGUUGCUCGGAAUCACUGGGCGUAAAGCGCACGUAGGCGGCUUUUUAAGUCAGGGGUGAAAUCCUGGAGCUCAACUCCAGAACUGCCUUUGAUACUGAGAAGCUUGAGUCCGGGAGAGGUGAGUGGAACUGCGAGUGUAGAGGUGAAAAUUCGUAGAUAUUCGCAAGAACACCAGUGGCGAAGGCGGCUCACUGGCCCGGUACUGACGCUGAGAUGCGAAAGCGUGGGGAGCAACAGG